rnacentral:rRNA from 3 species
UGACUGGGGCGGUCUCCUCCUAAAGAGUAACGGAGGAGCACGAAGGUUGGCUAAUCCUGGUCGGACAUCAGGAGGUUAGUGCAAUGGCAUAAGCCAGCUUGACUGCGAGCGUGACGGCGCGAGCAGGUGCGAAAGCAGGUCAUAGUGAUCCGGUGGUUCUGAAUGGAAGGGCCAUCGCUCAACGGAUAAAAGGUACUCCGGGGAUAACAGGCUGAUACCGCCCAAGAGUUCAUAUCGACGGCGGUGUUUGGCACCUCGAUGUCGGCUCAUCACAUCCUGGGGCUGAAGUAGGUCCCAAGGGUAUGGCUGUUCGCCAUUUAAAGUGGUACGCGAGCUGGGUUUAGAACGUCGUGAGACAGUUCGGUCCCUAUCUGCCGUGGGCGCUGGAGAACUGAGGGGGGCUGCUCCUAGUACGAGAGGACCGGAGUGGACGCAUCACUGGUGUUCGGGUUGUCAUGCCAAUGGCACUGCCCGGUAGCUAAAUGCGGAAGAGAUAAGUGCUGAAAGCAUCUAAGCACGAAACUUGCCCCGAGAUGAGUUCUCCCUGAGACUUAGAGUCUCCUGAAGGAACGUUGAAGACGACGACGUUGAUAGGCCGGGUGUGUAAGCGCAGCGAUGCGUUGAGCUAACCGGUACUAAUGAACCGUGAGGCUUAACCUUACAACGCCAAAG